rnacentral:rRNA from 1 species
CCUACGGGGGGCAGCAGUGAGGAAUAUUGGUCAAUGGACGCAAGUCUGAACCAGCCAUGCCGCGUGCAGGAAGACGGCUCUAUGAGUUGUAAACUGCUUUUGUACGAGGGUAAACGCAGAUACGCGUAUCUUUCUGAACGUAACGUACGAAUAAGGAUCGGCUAACUCCGUGCCAGCAGCCGCGGUAAUACGGAGGAUUCAAGCGUUAUCCGGAUUUAUUGGGUUUAAAGGGUGCGUAGGCGGUCGGAUAAGUUAGAGGUGAAAUCCCGAGGCUCAACUUCGGAAUUGCCUCUGAUACUGUUCGGCUAGAGAGUAGUUGCGGUAGGCGGAAUGUAUGGUGUAGCGGUGAAAUGCUUAGAGAUCAUACAGAACACCGAUUGCGAAGGCAGCUUACCAAGCUACUUCUGACGUUGCGGCACGAAAGCGUGGGGAGCAAACAGGAUUAGAUACCCGAGUAGUC